rnacentral:rRNA from 1 species
GAUGAACGCUGGCGGCGUGCCUAAUACAUGCAAGUCGAGCGAACAGAUAAGGAGCUUGCUCCUUUGACGUUAGCGGCGGACGGGUGAGUAACACGUGGAUAACCUACCUAUAAGACUGGGAUAACUUCGGGAAACCGGAGCUAAUACCGGAUAACAUAUUGAACCGCAUGGUUCAAUAGUGAAAGGCGGCUUUGCUGUCACUUAUAGAUGGAUCCGCGCCGUAUUAGCUAGUUGGUAAGGUAACGGCUUACCAAGGCAACGAUACGUAGCCGACCUGAGAGGGUGAUCGGCCAAACUGGAACUGAGACACGGUCCAGACUCCUACGGGAGGCAGCAGUAGGGAAUCUUCCGCAAUGGGCGAAAGCCUGACGGAGCAACGCCGCGUGAGUGAUGAAGGUCUUCGGAUCGUAAAACUCUGUUAUCAGGGAAGAACAAAUGUGUAAGUAACUGUGCACAUCUUGACGGUACCUGAUCAGAAAGCCACGGCUAACUACGUG